rnacentral:tRNA from 1 species
AUGGCAGACAUAAUGUAAUGAACUUAAAAUUCAUUUAUAAAGAUUAAUCUUUUUUUAGAAA